CUCAAAGAGGUCUAUCCAGGGGCGAAACUGGAGGCCGUGAAGUGGAAAGAUGUCGCCAGCCGUCCGAGAGCCCGAGCAUGGGUCUCGGAUAGGCCUGCAGAACCUGAGCAGAUACUCAGGUUACUGCAGGUCUGCAACCCCCACCUUCCUACAGCCGAUUGGAAGGUGGCCAAGGUAGAGGAUAUCCAAGGACAGAGGCGCCAGAUCAUCCUCUUCCCUAAUGAGGAGUCCGUAGACCUCCUCGCAAAGACGGACGGUGUAGUGGAUUAUGGCUAAAAGAAGGUUACCAUAUCCACCUACAAGUCAGAUCACAAGGGCAGACAAGUAGACGCUCCUACCGAUAAACCCCCACCAUUGUAAGGCAGCAUGCGCUACUCAACUGCUCCAUCUGGCCAAGAGUGGAGCCGACAUAGUCCUCAUUCAGGAGCCCUGGAUCCUCGGAAACAGGGUCUCCGGUCUGAGGCCUUCAGACUAUAAGCUACGCGUAGCUGAAACCGCAGCAAUAAAGACCAUACCGCAGUGUGCCUCGAAGGCCAGGAGCGCUUACUGAGGAUCUGCUCCGCAUACAUGGGUCAUGAUCAACCUGACCCCCCUCCACACGCGCCAAGGACAUCGGUCUAAUUGUGGGGCGCGACGCCAACGCACAUCACUGCCAGUGGAACCUCAUGCGGACAAACUGGACUCGGUACUCUGACUACCUCUGUCGUGGUCUCCCUGAGUCCCCACCUGAAGAGAAGCUUUUCAGGGAGGCCACGACUUGUCUUCUUAAGAUCUUCACGGACGAUGAGUCGCGAAUUCUUCUCCUAAAUACUCACUUCCCUGGCUGCGAUGAAAACAGACCCAGCUACUAAGCGCCUCCUUCUGUCGUCUCAAAUGCCAUCCUGAGCGAUCAAAAGCUUUAAACCUUACAAGUCCGCGGGGCCAGACGGCAUUUUCCCUGCCCAAAUGAUUCA